rnacentral:rRNA from 1 species
GACGAACGCUGGCGGCGUGCUUAACACAUGCAAGUCGAACGGUAAGGCCCUUCGGGGUACACGAGUGGCGAACGGGUGAGUAACACGUGGGUGAUCUGCCCUGCACUUCGGGAUAAGCCUGGGAAACUGGGUCUAAUACCGGAUAGGACCACUGCCUGCAUGGGUGGUGGUGGAAAGCUUUUGCGGUGUGGGAUGGGCCCGCGGCCUAUCAGCUUGUUGGUGGGGUGAUGGCCUACCAAGGCGACGACGGGUAGCCGGCCUGAGAGGGUGACCGGCCACACUGGGACUGAGAUACGGCCCAGGCUCCUACGGGAGGCAGCAGUGGGGAAUAUUGCACAAUGGGCGCAAGCCUGAUGCAGCGACGCCGCGUGAGGGAUGACGGCCUUCGGGUUGUAAACCUCUUUCAGCACCGACGAAGCGCAAGUGACGGUAGGUGCAGAAGAAGGACCGGCCAACCACGUGCCAGCCGCCGCAGUAA